UACGGAGGGGGUUAGCGUUGUUCGGAAUUACUGGGCGUAAAGCGCGCGUAGGCGGAUUAGUAAGUUGGAGGUGAAAUCCCAGGGCUCAACCUUGGAACUGCCUUCAAAACUACUAGUCUUGAGUUCGAGAGAGGUGAGUGGAAUUCCGAGUGUAGAAGUGAAAUUCGUAGAUAUUCGGAGGAACACCAGUGGCGAAGGCGACUCACUGGCUCGAUACUGACGCUGAGGUGCGAAAGCGUGGGGAGCAAACAGG
rnacentral:rRNA from 1 species